UAAGUAGCGAAGUAGCUGAUUUCACACUGUCGAGAAAAGUUUCUAUCGAGAUUAAAGGUGCCCGUACCGCAAACCGACACAGGUGGGUGAGGAGAGUAUCCUAAGGCCAGCGAGAGAACUGUUGUUAAGGAACUCGGCAAAAUGACCCCGUAACUUAGGGAGAAGGGGUGCCACGUUAGGGUUAACGCCCGAGGUGGCCGCAGAGAAUAGGCCCAAGCGACUGUUUACCAAAAACACAGGUUUCUGCUAAGUCGCAAGACGAUGUAUAGGAGCUGACGCCUGCCCGGUGCUGGAAGGUUAAGGGGAUCUGUUAGGAUUUAUCCGAAGCAGUGAACUUAAGCCCCAGUAAACGGCGGCCGUAACUAUAACGGUCCUAAGGUAGCGAAAUUCCUUGUCGGGUAAGUUCCGACCCGCACGAAAGGCGUAACGAUUUGGGCACUGUCUCAACAACAGACUCGGUGAAAUUGUAAUCCCGGUGAAGAUGCCGGGUACCUGCGACAGGACGGAAAGACCCCAUGGAGCUUUACUGUAGCUUGACAUUGAAUUUUGGUGCUACAUGUACAGGAUAGGUGGGAGGCUAUGAAGUCGGGACGCCAGUCUCGGCGGAGCCAUCCUUGGGAUACCACCCUUGUAGUACUGAGAUUCUAACCAGAUACCUUGAAUCAGGUAUUGGGACACUGUCAGGUGGGCAGUUUGACUGGGGCGGUCGCCUCCCAAAGAGUAACGGAGGCGCUCAAAGGUUCUCUCAGCACGGUCGGAAAUCGUGCGUAGAGUGUAAAGGCAGAAGAGAGCUUGAUUGCAAGACAUACAGGUCGAGCAAGGACGAAAGUCGGACUUAGUGAUCCGGUGGUUCCGCAUGGAAGGGCCAUCGCUCAACGGAUAAAAGCUACCCUGGGGAUAACAGGCUUAUCUCCCCCAAGAGUCCACAUCGACGGGGAGGUUUGGCACCUCGAUGUCGGCUCAUCACAUCCUGGGGCUGUAGUAGGUCCCAAGGGUUGGGCUGUUCGCCCAUUAAAGUGGUACGCGAGCUGGGUUCAGAACGUCGUGAGACAGUUCGGUCCCUAUCCGUCGCAGGCGUAGGAAAUUUGAGGAGACCUGUCCUUAGUACGAGAGGACCGGGAUGGACGUACCUCUGGUGUACCAGUUGUUCUGCCAAGGGCAUGGCUGGGUAGCUAUGUACGGAAUGGAUAAGCGCUGAAAGCAUCUAAGCGCGAAGCCAACUUCAAGAUAAGAUUUCCCACCGUAAGGGUAAGAUCCCAGGAAGACUACCUGGUUGAUAGGUCAAAGGUGUAAGUGCAGCAAUGUAUGUAGCUUAUUGAUACUAAUAGAUCG
rnacentral:rRNA from 1 species